rnacentral:rRNA from 1 species
AGGAUGAACGCUAGCGGCAGGCUUAACACAUGCAAGUCGAGGGGUAUAUGUCUUCGGAUAUAGAGACCGGCGCACGGGUGCGUAACGCGUAUGCAAUCUACCUUUUACAGAGGGAUAGCCCAGAGAAAUUUGGAUUAAUACCUCAUAGUAUAGCUCUACCGCAUGGUAGUACUAUUAAAGUCACAACGGUAAAAGAUGAGCAUGCGUCCCAUUAGCUAGUUGGUAAGGUAACGGCUUACCAAGGCAACGAUGGGUAGGGGUCCUGAGAGGGAGAUCCCCCACACUGGUACUGAGACACGGACCAGACUCCUACGGGAGGCAGCAGUGAGGAAUAUUGGACAAUGGGCGCAAGCCUGAUCCAGCCAUGCCGCGUGCAGGAUGACGGUCCUAUGGAUUGUAAACUGCUUUUGUACGAGAAGAAACACUGCUUCGUGAAGCAGCUUGACGGUAUCGUAAGAAUAAGGAUCGGCUAACUCCGUGCCGGCAGCCGCGGUAAUACGGAGGAUCCAAGCGUUAUCCGGAAUCAUUGGGUUUAAAGGGUCCGUAGGCGGUUUAGUAAGUCAGUGGUGAAAGCCCAUCGCUCAACGGUGGAACGGCCAUUGAUACUGCUGAACUUGAAUUAUUAGGAAGUAACUAGAAUAUGUAGUGUAGCGGUGAAAUGCUUAGAGAUUACAUGGAAUACCAAUUGCGAAGGCAGGUUACUACUAAUUGAUUGACGCUGAUGGACGAAAGCGUGGGGAGCGAACAGG